rnacentral:tRNA from 1 species
AGAAACUCAAGCCAUUAAAGAAGCUGCUAACUUCCAUUAAUAGCGGUUAAAUUCCGUUAACGUUUCU